CGAUAAAUGAUCAAACAAGUAUUUUAGGUCCAGAACUCUUUUAUUUAUAUAUAGUUGAGCCAAAGCUCAGAUGCUUACGUUGUGCGGUGUAGCGCGAUAAAUGGUCAAACAAGUGUUUUAGGUCCAGAACUCUUUUAUUUAUAUAUAGUUGAGCCAAAGCUCAGACUCUUACCUUAUUCAAAUAGAAUACCUUAAAAUGUUUGAGUUGGGUGCUUCAAUUCAAAAAGUAGUCUUCGUAUAAAGAAAACACAAUGAACCCAAUUCAAUGCAAAUGUAGCCUAUGUGUUAAUCUGACAAAUGUGAUAACGGUAUGUAAUAAUGGUGAAGUCCGACAACUCUUACGUUGUGCGUUGUAGCGCGAUAAAUGAUCAAACAAGUAUUUUAGGUCCAGAACUCUUUUAUUU